rnacentral:tRNA from 1 species
GGAUAUAACUCAGUUGGUAGAGUGCUUGCCUCACAGGCACAAGGCCCUGGGUUCACUUCCCAGGACCA